GGCCAAUCAAACCCGGAGAUAUCUCGUUCUCCCCGAAAUAGCUUUAGGGCUAGCCUCGAUCGCUUACCGACGGUGGUAGAGCACUGGAUCCGUGCGGGGGCCUCACCGCCUACCAACCGAAACCAAACUCCGAAUGCCGUCGGUCCCGAGAUCGGGAGUCAGAACAUGUGGGCUAAGCCGUGUGUUCGAGAGGGAAACAGCCCAGACCGCCUGCUAAGGUCCCCAAAUCAACGCUGAGUGGCAAAGGAUGUGCGUUUGCCUAGACAACCAGGAUGUUGGCUUAGAAGCAGCCAUGCAUUUAAAGAGUGCGUAACAGCUCACUGGUCAAGUGGACAUGCGCCGACAAUACACGGGGCUAAGCGUUGUACCGAAGCAGCGGACUGUUUUAUCAGUGGUAGGGGAGCUUUCCAUGCCGGGGCGAAGCCGACGGGCGACCGUCGGUGGACCGCAUGGAAGUGAGAAUGCUGGCAUGAGUAACGAGAGAGGGGCGAGAAACCCCUCCGCCGUAAGCCUAAGGGUUCCUGGGCAAGGCUAAUCCCCCCAGGGUCAGUCGGGAGCUAAGGCGAGGCCGACAGGCGUAGCCGAUGCACAACAGGCGGACAUUCCUGUACCACCGCGGAGCGUUACUACGACGGGGUGACGGAGAAGGGUAGCCGGGCGGGGUUCUGGACGUCCCCGUGAAAGCGCGUAGGCCGCAGGGCAGGCAAAUCCGCCCUGCAGCGAGGCCGAGACGUUAGACGAAGCUCCAUGUGAAGCCGGCGAGCCCAUGCUUCCGAGAAAAACCUCUAAGGAGCGAGGCGGUGCCCGUACCAAAACCGACACAGGUAGGCGGGUAGAGCAUACCAAGGCGAUCGGGAGAACCAUGGUUAAGGAACUCGGCAUACUGACUCCGUAACUUCGGGAGAAGGAGUGCCCCCGCCUGUGAGGUCCCACGCGGACGGAGCGGGAGGGGGUCGCAGCGAAACGGCCCAAGCGACUGUUUACCAAAAACACAGGACUCUGCAAAGCCGCAAGGCGACGUAUAGGGUCUGACGCCUGCCCGGUGCUGGAAGGUUACGCGGAUGAGUUAGCGCAAGCGAAGCCCUGAAGCCAAGCCCCAGUAAACGGCGGCCGUAACUAUAACGGUCCUAAGGUAGCGAAAUUCCUUGUCGGGUAAGUUCCGACCUGCACGAAUGGCGUAACGACUUCCCC
rnacentral:rRNA from 1 species